AGAGUUUGAUCUGGCUCAGGACGAACGCUGGCGGCGUGCCUAACACAUGCAAGUCGAACGGGACCAGGGGCAACUCUGGUUCAGUGGCGGACGGGUGCGUAACACGUGAGGAACAUGACUUUCGGCGGGGGAUAGCCGGCCCAACGGCCGGGUAAUACCGCGUACGACCACAUGGGGACAUCCCCGCGUGGUGAAAGCAGCAAUGCACCGAAAGAGUGCCUCGCGGCCUAUCAGCUAGUUGGUGGGGUAACGGCUCACCAAGGCGACGACGGGUAGCUGGCCUGAGAGGAUGGCCAGCCACAUUGGGACUGAGACACGGCCCAGACUCCUACGGGAGGCAGCAGUGGGGAAUAUUGCGCAAUGGGCGAAAGCCUGACGCAGCGACGCCGCGUGUGGGAUGACGGCCUUCGGGUUGUAAACCACUGUCGGGAGGGACGAAUGCGCCGCAAGGCGAGUGACGGUACCUCCAAAGGAAGCACCGGCUAACUCCGUGCCAGCAGCCGCGGUA
rnacentral:rRNA from 1 species